rnacentral:rRNA from 1 species
UACGAAGGGGGCUAGCGUUGUUCGGAAUUACUGGGCGUAAAGCGUACGUAGGCGGAUUGUUAAGUGAGGGGUGAAAUCCCGAGGCUCAACCUCGGAACUGCCUUUCAUACUGGCAAUCUUGAGUCCGGGAGAGGUGAGUGGAACUCCUAGUGUAGAGGUGAAAUUCGUAGAUAUUAGGAAGAACACCAGUGGCGAAGGCGGCUCACUGGCUCAUUACUGACGCUCAGGCGCGAUAGCGUGGGGAUCAAACAGG